rnacentral:rRNA from 1 species
UCCUACGGGAGGCAGCAGUCGCGAAAACUUUGCAAUGGGGGCAACCCCGACAAGGGAAUUCCAAGUGCCAACACUUUUUGUGUUGGCUGUUCUUCUGUCUAAAAAACAGGAGAAGUAAGGGCCGGGUAAGACGGGUGCCAGCCGCCGCGGUAAUACCCGCGGCCCGAGUGGUGGUCGAUAUUAUUGAGCCUAAAACGUCCGUAGCCGGUCUUCUAAAUCCUUGGGUAAAUCGGGCAGCUUAACUGUCCGAAUUCCGGGGAGACUGGGAGACUUGGGACCGGGAGAGGUUAGAGGUACUUCUGGGGUAGGGGUAAAAUCCUGUAAUCCUGGAAGGACCACCGGUGGCGAAGGCGUCUAACUAGAACGGAUCCGACGGUGAGGGACGAAGCCCUGGGGCGCAAACGGGAUUAGAUACCCCGGUAGG